AGCAGCCGCGGUAAUUCCAGCUCCAAUAGCGUAUAUUAAAGUUGUUGCAGUUAAAAAGCUCGUAGUCGAAUUUCGGGACCAAUCUGCCGGUCGUGCCUCCGGUACGCACUGGUUUUAUUGGUUUCUCCCUUCUGACGAACUAUGAUGUCAUUAAUUUGGUGUCAUGGGGAAUCAGGACUGUUACUUUGAAAAAAUUAGAGUGUUUAUAGCAGGCUCACGCUUGAAUACAUUAGCAUGGAAUAAUGAAAUAGGACGUUUGACCCUAUUUUGUUGGUUUCUAGGAUCGACGUAAUGAUUAAUAGGGAUAGUUGGGGGCAUUAGUAUUCAAUUGUCAGAGGUGAAAUUCUUGGAUUUAUUGAAGACUAACUACUGCGAAAGCAUUUGCCAAGGAUGUUUUCAUUAAUCAAGAACGAAAGUUAGGGGAUCGAAGACGAUCAGAUACCGUCGUAGUCUUAACCAUAAACUAUGCCGACUAGGGAUCGGAUGAUGUUAUUUUUUAAUGACUCAUUCGGCGCCUUAC
rnacentral:rRNA from 1 species